UUUUUUCUGUUUAUUUGGCGUCCUUCAAUUUAGUUAUGAUAUCGUGUGCUAAAUUUUGCUAUAAAUUUGAUUGCUUAUAAAUUGAUUGAAAAUUAAAAACUGAUGUUUACAUUAAAUUAGUGUUUCUAAUUAAGUUGAAAAUACUGUAGUGCAACGACUGAAUCAAUUUUGAUCUAUCGUUAAUCAUUCGUUGAUAAUAUUGGUAUAAGAUCUAAGACUUUCAUCUUGUUGAUUGUACAUACACUUUGGAUUAGCAACGCUCAUUCCAGUUGCAUAGAAGCUUGAGACCUCUUAAAUGCAAAGCUAUUUAAGAAUUAUUACUAAAGACAAAACAGGAAUAGGAAUGAUUAGGUGAUAAUUAUUGUGUUUUGAAAUGAAAAAUGUGCCAGAAAGUCAAAUCCUCCAUUGUGGAGAAACAAACUCAAGACAUAUAUGGGAACCACUUACGGUUUUGUACAAUUACCCAUGGACACAUGUCUAAUUGUAAAGAAUAUGUCAUUCACAAAGAAGCAUUUAAUUUCAAGCGUUGGGUUGUGUUCAUGACAAUAUUUAGCAGUCUUGCUUUUUAUUGUAAAUUUUAUAAUACGGAUGUUAGUUUUCUAGGCCUGUUUCUGUGCUUUCUGUGUGUGAUAUUAGUUUUAAAGUUACACCAUAAAGUAAAACAAGAAUCUUUACUGGUAAUUGCAUCUCUAGGACUCCAGUUAACUACUACUUUUGUAACUGGUAGAAAAGCAUCGCAGUUCAUUCUUCAGCAAGAUAUCCAAGAUGUUGUUAUAAAUGAAGGAAUUUUCAUGCACAGAGUAUUGUUUUAUUUAGCUGUUUUACUCAGAGAUGUUAAAGACCCAACUAAUCUUAAAUGUUUAAUUCCUUUGUUUAAGCUCUAUUUAAGUUAGUAUGCACCAGACAAUCCACUAUGCUUCUGAGUAAAGUGAAUAAAAUUCUAAAUGAUAUUUAUCUGUUUUUAACUCUUGUUGAAGAGCUUUGCUCCACAUAAAGAAUACAUCUGGACCUAUUUAAUGUAAAGAACAUGGCUAAAACAAAUGCUGAGAAGCAACGGGAAUAUAGAGAACGCAAGAAAGCUAAUAAACCUCCUAAGCCACCACCAAAAUCAAGCAAAGAACGUGUGCGUCUGUAUAGAGAACGUAAGAAGCUAGCAAAAGUGAAUCAAGAACUUCAGCAAUUACAGCAGCAAAAUUUGCAUAAUGAUCCAACAGCAGGCACUUCGCGUGAUGAAGAUAACUUGAUAUACAUUGAAGCUGAUCAGUACACAUUUCCCAGAUUGGAUUGCUUAGAAAGUAUAUACAAUGGCAUUCAAGCAUCAUUGUUUUUGAAUCAGACAGAAAGCAGUUCCUGAAGAUUUGAUGUUGUAUUAAUUGUUUACUUUUAUUCAACACUAUUAUUAUUAUAUACUUACCUUUUUUUCUUUUGCAUUUUUCUUUGAAAUACCUAUAAUUAUCAUCAUUAUUGCCUGCAUCAUUUAUUCUCAUAUGAUGCAAAGUUUUUAUUAUCUGUUUUUUAAAUGUUAAUGCAUAAUAUGAUGGUAAUGCUGGGUGGAAUUUUCUAAUUCAAACAAGAUUAAAUCAUGAACAUAAUAUGAAGAUUGAUGAUUUAUGUUUUCCCAAUUUUUUACAUUUAACCACUCUAGAUUACUAUUACUAGAUAUUAUUCAUGUAGAAAUUGAAAAAAAAUCUCCCAUUUGUACGUUAUUAAUAUAGUAACAGUAAUUUAACUGUAAAUAACUUGUUAAAACUAAAACAAAUAUUUGUUAUAUUACAGAUUGCUUGACAUGUUUGUUUGUUUAAUAAGAAUUGUGUUAAUUGUUAUUAAUUGAAUUUGUGUUCAUUUAACUGUGUUUAUGUUGAAAUAAAAAUUAUGACAGAGCAGUGGUUUGCCCUUUCCUCUUCUGUUUAUUGUCUUUUAUUUUUUUGAUUGAAGCUUUUCUUUUUUUUACCAUCUUUUAAACCUAAAAUAUAUUUUCAGU